rnacentral:rRNA from 1 species
CUAUGGGCUGCUCCAGCUAAGAAUCUUCCGCAAUGGACGAAAGUCUGACGGAGCGACGCCGCGUGAACGAAGAAGGCCUAACGGUUGUAAAGUUCUUUUCUUGUGGAGGAAUAAUGGUAGUAGGGAAUGACUAUCAGAUGACGUUAAACAAGGAAUAAGCCCCGGCUAAUUACGUGCCAGCAGCCGCGGUAACACGUAAGGGGCAAGCGUUGUUCGGAUUCAUUGGGCGUAAAGGGCGUGUAGGCGGCAUGGCAAGUCUGGUGUGAAAUAUCCCGGCUCAACCGGGAGACCGCGCUGGAAACUGCCAAGCUAGAGUAUAGGAAGGGAAGCUAGAAUUCCAGGUGUAGGGGUGAAAUCUGUAGAUAUCUGGAAGAAUACCGGUGGCGAAGGCGAGCUUCUGGCCAUAUACUGACGCUGAGACGCGAAAGCGUGGGGAGCGAACAGGAUUAGAUACCCUAGUAGUC